AUGCACGCUGGCGGCGUGCCUAAUCCAUGCCAGUCGAGCGAACAGACGAGGAGCUUGCUCCUCUGACGUUAGCGGCGGACGGGUGAGUAACACGUGGAUAACCUACCUAUAAGACUGGGAUAACUUCGGGAAACCGGAGCUAAUACCGGAUAAUAUAUUGAACCGCAUGGUUCAAUAGUGAAAGACGGUUUUGCUGUCACUUAUAGAUGGAUCCGCGCCGCAUUAGCUAGUUGGUAAGGUAACGGCUUACCAAGGCGACGAUGCGUAGCCGACCUGAGAGGGUGAUCGGCCACACUGGAACUGAGACACGGUCCAGACUCCUACGGGAGGCAGCAGUAGGGAAUCUUCCGCAAUGGGCGAAAGCCUGACGGAGCAACGCCGCGUGAGUGAUGAAGGUCUUCGGAUCGUAAAACUCUGUUAUUAGGGAAGAACAAAUGUGUAAGUAACUAUGCACGUCUUGACGGUACCUAAUCAGAAAGCCACGGCUAACUACGUG
rnacentral:rRNA from 1 species